UACGUAGGGGGCAAGCGUUGUCCGGAUUUAUUGGGCGUAAAGAGCGUGUAGGCGGCCUGACAGGUCUGCUGUGAAAACUCGAGGCUCAACCUCGAGAUGUCGGCGGAAACCGUCUGGCUAGAGUCCGGAAGAGGAGAGUGGAAUUCCUGGUGUAGCGGUAAAAUGCGCAGAUAUCAGGAGGAACACCAAUAGCGAAGGCAGCUCGCUGGGACGGUACUGACGCUGAGGCGCGAAAGCGUGGGGAGCGAACAGG
rnacentral:rRNA from 1 species